GCCUCCCACCCACUUGACCACCUCUGUUCCUCACUUUCCCAUAUAUUUGUUUAAUACUUCCUCACAGUUUACACCUUACACAGCUUCUUUCUUCUCAGUUUUUUAAGACUCUCUCAUGUCUCAACUUCGUCUUCGUCUCUUUUAAUUUGUUCCCCUCACCAUGCGGCACAGCGGUAGUGAUUAGUUGAAUUUCUUUUUUAAUCUUCCUCGUCUUCAGAUCUUCUUUUCCUCUGUUCAAAACGAAACUUUCGAGCAUUACAAUCAAUCAUUGCUAGUCUACUCUAUUUCAAUUUCCAAAUCUCUUCAAUGAAGUGUAAAAGAGAGUCAUUGCUAUCACCAUCUUCUUCUUCAACACGUCAGUGCCAAUAUGACGUAUUUCUAAGUUUUAGGGGUAUUGAUACCCGCAAAAAUUUUACCGAUCAUUUAUAUGCUGCUUUGAAGCAAAAGGGCAUUAUUAUUUUUAGGGAUGAAGAAGGACUUGAGAGAGGACAAUAUAUUUCUGAGCUCUUCGAAGCAAUAGAAGAAUCACAGAUUGCUAUCAUCAUUUUCUCAAAAAACUAUGCAUUUUCUAAGUGGUGCUUGAGAGAGCUUGCCAAGAUUAACGAAUGCAGAAAGAAAAUAGAGCUGAUAGUUUUGCCAAUUUUCUACGAUGUAGAACCAUCUGAUGUUAAGAAACAAACAGGACCUUUUGAACAAGCCUUUAUUGAACACCAAAAAUGCUUUGAGGUUAGCAUAGAGGAGGUGGAAACAUGGAGAGCUGCUUUAAAAGAAGUGGCUAGUAUCACUGGUUGGCCUCUACAAAAUAGGCAUGAGUUCGAAUUUAUCCAAGACGUUGUGAAAGAGAUGAUGGAGAAAUUGAGUUUUAAAUCCUCAAGCAUUACUAAAAAAUUCAUAGGAAUAGAAUCUACUCUGGCGAAAUUUAUCCCUUUGUAUUUAAGUCUUGAGAAAGAUAUUUGCAUGAUAGGGAUUUAUGGUAUGGGGGGUUUGGGAAAGACAACUCUUGCUAGAGUUGUUUAUGAUAAAUUUCGUAAUGAAUUUGAAGGUUCUAGCUUUAUUGCUAAUGUUAGGGAAGAUUCAAAAAACCACGGUUUGCCUAAAUUACAACAGCAACUUCUUGUAGACAUUUUGAAGGACAAAAGUAUACUUAUAAACAAUGUUUAUGAUGGAGUUGACAUAAUCGAGAAAAGGUUAUGUCGUAAAAAAGUUCUACUUGUUAUAGAUGAUGUUGACCAUGUGGACCAAUUACAAAAAUUGGCUGGAGGGCAUGAUUGGUUUGGAUUGGGGAGUAAGAUCAUUAUAACAACUAGAGAUGAACAUGUGUUAAUCCAACAUAGAGUGCAUAAAAGAUAUAAUCCCAAUGGAUUAAAUAAUGAUGAUGCUUUAAAACUUUUUUGUUUGAAAGCCUUCGAAAAUGAGCAACCCAAAAAAGGUUAUUUGCAACUCUCCCAAGAAGUUGUGAAAUAUUCUAAUGGCCUUCCAUUAGCUCUUGUUACUUUGGGUUCCUUUUUGGUUGGAAGAACAAUAGAUGAAUGGCAAAGUGCAUUGCCCAGUUUUAAAAAAACUAAAGGAGAAAUAUUUAAUAUACUUAAAAUAAGUUACAAUGGACUAGAGGAAAUGUGGAAGGAAAUAUUCUUAGAUAUUGCAUGUUUCUUCAGACAUUGGAAAUUAAAUGAAGUAAUAUAUAUAUUAGAGAAUUGUGGUUUUAAUGCAAGAAUUGGUAUAAGUGUUCUUGUGGAAAAAUCUCUCCUAUCUGUGGACGACAACGAACAUUUGGGGAUGCAUGAUCUACUACAAGAAAUGGGUGAAAAAAUUGUUCGUUUUGAAUCAAAUGGAAAUCUUGGAAAGCAGAGGAGGCUGUGGCUUAAUAAUGAAUUGCAUCAUGUAUUGAAGGACAAUAUGGCAACAAAUGCAAUUGAAGCCAUAGUCAUUCGUUUCAAGAAAGUGGAUUUCAAAUUUGAAGAAUUUCUUGAAGUGUUAUCAAAGAUGUCUAAUCUUAGAUUGAUGAUAAUUAAUCAGACGGACAUCUUACGUUUUCCUAUUGAUCAUAGACAUCUUGAUGUUCCUAAUACGCUAAGACAUCUUUUAUGGGACUACUGUCCUUUAAAAUGUUUGUCAUGCAGUUCCCAACCAAUGGAGCUUGUUCAUCUUGAAUUGCGGCACAGCUAUUUGGAAUAUCUUUGGCAAGGAGUAAUGCUUUCAUUCAAGUUAAAGUUCAUUGAUCUUAGUAGUUCCUUCUACCUUAUGAGGACACCUGACUUUUCAGGUGUUCCGAUACUUGAGAAACUAAACCUUUCUAACUGCCCUCGAUUGGUUGAGAUCCACCCAUCUAUUGGAAAACUCAGCAAGCUUAGGUAUUUACAUCUGAAAUACUGCAAAUCUCUUACUGAUCUUCCCGACAUGUCUGCUAAAAUGCAAUCCCUUACGGUUCUUGACCUUCAUCACUGCUCAAAAAUCAAUUCAUUUCCGAAAUUUACUAGAAUUAUGAAAAGCCUAUCAGAACUCAAUUUGGGUGGGACUGGUAUUAAGAAAGUAGAACCCUCAUCAAUCGAGUGUUUGAUUGCCCUUACAAAAUUAGAUCUAAGUUCGUGCAAUGAUCUCAAAUGUCUUCCUAGAAAUAUGCAUAAUUUGAGGUCACUUGAAAAACUCGGUCUUUCCUUUUGCACAAAACUAAAAUCUUUGCCAAGGCUUCCAUCAACCGUAAGAGUUAUAGAAGCUCAAGGUUGUGAUUCUCUAAAAUGGUCACUAGCGUUGGUUAAACUGCGUAGUUGGUCACAACCUCUCUCCCAGCGGUGUCCGUAUGAUAAGAGAAGCAUUCGAGGGGAAUUUAAAAUAUUGUUCCAUUUCCUACAGGUACAGGAUGGACUCCUUUGUCGGAAAACCAUUUAUGGAACUUCUUCAAAAAGGGAAAAGGAGGGAUCAAGAACUAAAUUUCUUGUAAUUAUUCCGUCAUUUUUUAUUCAAAAAGUGAGGAAUUCAAUAAACAUAGAGCUGCCUUCAAAUUGGUAUAAUAGUAAAUGGAUAGGAUUCGCUCUCUGGGCAACAUGUAUGAUAGGGUGUGAAUAUGAUAUUAGAGCUCGUGUGAUAGCCCUUGGUGAUAUGCCUCAAAAUUACUGGGCCUUUGAACUUUUUACUACCUUGAUACGUCUUGAAAACAGUAUUUGCCUAUUGUAUUUGUCUAGUGAUGAGUGGUUUGCUAUUGUUGGGAAUGGUAAAUGCUGUCAGAUUAAGGUUACAUUUGAGACCAAUCGAAGUACCAUUGGCAUUGAUGUGUUUGAUUGUGGGUUUAGUUCGUUAUACAAGCAAGAUGUGGAUGAGUUCAACCAAACAAGUGCACAAUGUUUGAUUGAGAGCUUUGGGGAAGAAGUACCCAUCUAUAAAUUAACUGUUGGUGAUGAUGAUGAUGAUGAUGAUGAUGAUGAUGAACUUUAAGGAUUUUGCUAAGGUGACCAUAGUAAGGAGUCUACAGCUCGAAGCUGACAAGGUCAACUUGGGAGGAGAUGGGAAGCUAAAGACACUAAGCUGAAGGAUAUGCACGAGACUGACGAUUCUGACAUAACCUUACUUGGCCUCCAGGCAUGCGUAUAUAAGGAAAUAUCUUGUGCUCCACGCUUAGAAAGACUCCUACAAGGAAAGGGAUCCGCAAAAUACACUCAUAAGGACUCCUAUAAGGAAAAGAUUUCUAAACCAAGGAAAAGAUGUCAACCCUCUACUACUAUAAAAGCCCCAAUACCCUCACUAACUAAGGUAUUGUUUCGAGCACGUGAGAAUUGUGUGACUUACUAUUGAUUUUUCGGCAUCAUCAGGGGUGUUGGUACUUUUAGAUAGAGGCAAAGAAAAGGUCAUCACCUAACAUAGUUUUAGAAGAUUCAGAACAAUUUUACUUCUUGAAUGAUAGUAUUUCUUAACUACUUAAUUUUUCUACUUCUAAUUUAUAUUAGAGAAAGGGAAUGGAAGUAAAAUGUUUCCUGUUGGGUUCUAAGACUUUAGGUUUAAAUGUAUUAGAACUUCAUUUUAUAAUGCUGGCAAACCAUGAUCAAAACAUUUA